GUAGGGCGCAAGCGUUAUCCGGAAUUAUUGGGCGUAAAGAGCUCGUAGGCGGUUUGUCGCGUCUGCCGUGAAAGUCCGGGGCUCAACUCCGGAUCUGCGGUGGGUACGGGCAGACUAGAGUGUUGUAGGGGAGACUGGAAUUCCUGGUGUAGCGGUGAAAUGCGCAAAUAUCAGGAGGAACACCGAUGGCGAAGGCAGGUCUCUGGGCAUUAACUGACGCUGAGGAGCGAAAGCAUGGGGAGCGAACAGGAUUAGAUACCCUGGUAGUCCAUGCCGUAAACGUUGGGCACUAGGUGUGGGGGACAUUCCACGUUUUCCGCGCCGUAGCUAACGCAUUAAGUGCCCCGCCUGGGGAGUACGGCCGCAAGGCUA
rnacentral:rRNA from 1 species